UUAAGUCUGAUGUGAAAGCCCCCGGCUCAACCGGGGAGGGUCAUUGGAAACUGGGAGACUUGAGUGCAGAAGAGGAGAGUGGAAUUCCAUGUGUAGCGGUGAAAUGCGUAGAUAUAUGGAGGAACACCAGUGGCGAAGGCGGCUCUCUGGUCUGUAACUGACGCUGAGGCUCGAAAGCGUGGGGAGCAAACAGGAUUAGAUACCCCAGUAGUCC
rnacentral:rRNA from 1 species